UACGGAGGAUGCGAGCGUUAUCCGGAUUUAUUGGGUUUAAAGGGUGCGUAGGCGGCCUGUUAAGUCAGCGGUGAAAUCUAGGGGCUUAACUCCUAAAUUGCCAUUGAUACUGGUGGGCUUGAGUGUAGAUGAGGUAGGCGGAAUGCGUGGUGUAGCGGUGGAAUGCAUAGAUAUCACGCAGAACUCCAAUUGCGAAGGCAGCUUACUAAGGUACAACUGACGCUGAAGCACGAAAGCGUGGGUAUCAAACAGG
rnacentral:rRNA from 1 species